rnacentral:lncRNA from 1 species
ACAAAUUCCUAGUAUCAGACUGUUCUCUAACAAAUGACAGUAUGUCAGUUCAUGGAAUAGUGUUUUAUCUCAAAUCAGGAAGGAUGUGAAUUUUGCUCGUAGCUAAUAUGGAACUUCAACUGAAGAUGGAGUGAGCUGUUUUGAUAGUGAAGCUUCAUCAGAUGAGUAUUAGCUAUGGCACUUGAAGCUCUCAAACUUGUAUGUCAAAACAAGGAGCUCUUUUUAUUAGUAAGAAGAGAUUUGGUGAGAGGACUACCUCAUCUGGAAUUCAUUAUGGAUGAAGAUUAUGAGGUAUGUCAAUAGGGAAGUCGAAGGACCAUCGCACAGAAGCGAAGACAUGAUCAACAUUACUGAGCCGCUUCAGAUGAUACGUAUGGAUUUCUACGGAGCAGCUAAUGUCAUGUCUGCAAACAAAUCCAGAUUUCUUUUUGCGAUGAUCAUUGACUACUCUAGAUUCUUUCGUGUUGUUCGUAUGUGUUCGAAGGACAAGACGUCACAAAUGAAGGUUGAUCAAGAUGAACCCUGAUCAUUGAUAAAUCUAGAAAGACACCAUUCUUGUUAGUGGCCAAUCAGAAGCAAACACUAUCUUUUGGUAUGUGUUUGGAGGAAAAUGCAUCUUUGCAAGUCUUGCAUCUAAAGCUCAAAGAAUAUUUUCCUCGGCUACUCAAUGGAGUCUACAGUCUACAGGGUGAUUAUGAUUAUUCAACAGAAGGUGAUUGUAAGUCUGGACAGGACAUUGAACGACACCUUGCUCCAAGCUGUUAAAGGUGAUAUUAGUGGUAUAAUAAUAAUUCAGAUCCAAGCAGAAUCUCUUUGCAAGGAUAAGGAUUAUUAAAGAAAUCCCAGCAACAGCUUAGGGGGAGCAUUUGGUGGAUUCACUAGUCAAACUCAACACUACAUUGGAGAUGAACAGGACAUAUCAAGAACAUAUCUGCUUAGACAAAGGGUU